CCGUGCUAGAUGGGGAGCUAGCGGUACCCUGUAACCUGCAACCCGCUACAGCAGGAUCAAUCGCUUUUUCGAGGAUCCAAAGAACAUUAGUCUUAUCGAUGUAAGUGGUGAUGAGGGCCGGAUCUCAUGCAAUAAGAGAUUGUGUGAACCUGGUCAGGUGCGGAAGCAAGCAGCCAUAAGCAUAUAUCCUUAUGUGCAGUGAGCCCGUCUGGCCUGAGCUUACUGCAUAGACAAGCUAAUGGGAAUGGAGACAGAAAAAAGUGCACGG
rnacentral:SRP_RNA from 1 species